GUGGAGGUCUGCGUCGAGCCUUCCUGUUCUGCUGAGCUUUCAACAGCUCUUUCCCCGUUCUUUUGAACUGGCAAUAUUCAAAGUGGGGAAGAAGUCUUUUCCCUGGGCACUCGCCUAGCUCCUGGUCCCCUUCCCCUGGGAAGACCCACUCAGUAUUUGGACUUGGAAAUGCUCCUGUGGCCCCUCCAUAGCACCAGCCGCGCUGGGUAGCCAUGUCAUACACCCGGAGAUUUCUUCCAUUAAAACUGCUGUCUUGGGAUUGGAGAUGAAAGGACCCGACACUUAGCAGCAGAUGAGCUAAGCCUAACGGAGAGAAUGACUUAUGGAUUCAGGAGCUUGGGUUAUUAUCCACCCAAUCAAAUAUGCAACUCCUGGAAAUCUUCAACUGAGUUUUUCAGAAAUGGAACCUGCACUUGGCUUUCGGAUCAGUGUCAGACUUUGUUGAAGUCUCUGUCACUUGUGAUAAGGCAGCAUUUAUAGAUGGUCAGGCCUGUGUGCCAAAGAAAAUGGAAUCUGAAUUCAGGCUGUUGGCAAGCAGACACAUAAGGGUACAGCUAUGAUAAAUUCAAGAGGAAUGUAGUGACAAUUAUGAGAACAGACAAGGUUUGAAAUUAUAAUAAAAAUAAACUUAAUUAUAAUAAAAAUAAAAUUGACCUAAUUUGUUGAA